rnacentral:rRNA from 1 species
AUUGAACGCUGGCGGCAGGCCUAACACAUGCAAGUCGAACGAGUGGCGGACGGGUGAGUAAUGUCUGGGAACCUGCCCGAUGGCGGGGGAUAACUAGUGGAAACGGUGGCUAAUACCGCAUACCAUCGGAUGAACCCAUAUGGGAUUAGCUAGUAGGUGGGGUAAAGGCUCACCUAGGCGACGAUCCAUAGCUGGUCUGAGAGGAUGACCAGCCACACUGGAACUGAGCCACGGUCCAGACUCCUACGGGAGGCAGCAGUGGGGAAUAUUGCACAAUGGGCGCAAGCCUGAUGCAGCCAUGCCGCGUGUAUGAGGAAGGCCUUCGGGUUGUAAAGUACUUGUAGCGGGGAGGCGUUACCCGCAGAAGAAGCCCCGGCUAACUCCGUGCCAGCCGCCGCGGUAAUAC